UACGGGAGGCAGCAGUGGGGAAUAUUGCACAAUGGGCGCAAGCCUGAUGCAGCCAUGCCGCGUGUAUGAAAAAGGCCUUCGGGUUGUAAAGUACUUUCAGUCGUGAGGAAGGUGUUAAGGUUAAUAACCUUAGCAAUUGACGUUAGCGACAGAAGAAGCACCGGCUAACUCCGUGCCAGCAGCCGCGGUAAUACGGAGGGUGCGAGCGUUAAUCGGAAUUACUGGGCGUAAAGGGCACGCAGGCGGUUAAUUAAGUUGGAUGUGAAAUCCCCGGGCUUAACCUGGGAAUGGCAUUCAAGACUGGUUAGCUAGAGUCUUGUAGAGGGGGUAGAAUUCCAUGUGUAGCGGUGAAAUGCGUAGAGAUGUGGAGGAAUACCGGUGCGAAGGCGGCCCCUGGACAAGACUGACGCUCAUGUGCGAAAGCGUGGGGAGCAAAC
rnacentral:rRNA from 1 species